rnacentral:snRNA from 1 species
GCGGGUGCACCGCCGACC